rnacentral:rRNA from 1 species
UACGAAGGGGGCUAGCGUUGCUCGGAAUCACUGGGCGUAAAGCGCACGUAGGCGGAUUGUUAAGUCAGGGGUGAAAUCCUGGAGCUCAACUGCAGAACUGCCUUUGAUACUGGCGAUCUCGAGUCCGGGAGAGGUGAGUGGAACUGCGAGUGUAGAGGUGAAAUUCGUAGAUAUUCGCAAGAACACCAGUGGCGAAGGCGGCUCACUGGCCCGGUACUGACGCUGAGGUGCGAAAGCGUGGGGAGCAAACAGG